UACGAAGGGGGCUAGCGUUGUUCGGAAUCACUGGGCGUAAAGCGCACGUAGGCGGCCCUUUAAGUCAGGGGUGAAAUCCCGAGGCUCAACCUCGGAACUGCCUUUGAUACUGGGGAUCUCGAGUCCGGGAGAGGUGAGUGGAACUGCGAGUGUAGAGGUGAAAUGCGUAGAUAUUCGCAAGAACACCAGUGGCGAAGGCGGCUCACUGGCCCGGAACUGACGCUGAGGUGCGAAAGCGUGGGGAGCAAACAGG
rnacentral:rRNA from 1 species